rfam:Gossypium hirsutum cultivar TM-1 chromosome 4, whole genome shotgun sequence
AACCUAUGGUGAGGGCAUCUUCGCAAAAGGUCCUUAUAUCUCUCCCACACAUCGUAAAGUAUUUCUAAACCCAUUUGUACAAAAGAAGAUAUAUCAUUACAUAAUUU